rnacentral:piRNA from 1 species
UGAGAGAAAAGCAUUUGCCAAGACUU